rnacentral:rRNA from 1 species
GACGAACGCUGGCGGCGUGCUUAACACAUGCAAGUCGAGCGGUAAGGCCCUUUCGGGGGUACACGAGCGGCGAACGGGUGAGUAACACGUGGGUGACCUGCCCUCAGCUCUGGGAUAAGCCUGGGAAACUGGGUCUAAUACUGGAUAUGACUCCACGGUGCAUGUCGUGGGGUGGAAAGCCUUGUGCGGCUGAGGAUGGGCCCCGCGGCCUAUCAGCUUGUUGGUGGGGNGAUGGCCUACCAAGGCGACGACGGGUAGCCGGCCUGAGAGGGCGACCGGCCACACUGGGACUGAGACACGGCCCAGACUCCUACGGGAGGCAG